rnacentral:tRNA from 1 species
AAAAAGGUAAGCUAAUAAAGCUAAUGGGUUCAUACCCCUUAUAUGAAGGUUAUAAUCCUUCUCUUUUUA